rnacentral:rRNA from 1 species
GAUGAACGCUGGCGGCGUGCUUAACACAUGCAAGUCGAACGGAAAGGCCCAAGCUUGCUUGGGUACUCGAGUGGCGAACGGGUGAGUAACACGUGGGUGAUCUGCCCUGCACUUGGGGAUAAGCCUGGGAAACUGGGUCUAAUACCGGAUAGGACCACUUCUGGGAUGUUGUGGGGGAAAGUUUUUUCGGUGUGGGAUGAGCUCGCGGCCUAUCAGCUUGUUGGUGGGGUAAUGGCCUACCAAGGCGUCGACGGGUAGCCGGCCUGAGAGGGUGUACGGCCACAUUGGGACUGAGAUACGGCCCAGACUCCUACGGGAGGCAGCAGUGGGGAAUAUUGCACAAUGGGCGCAAGCCUGAUGCAGCGACGCCGCGUGGGGGAUGACGGCCUUCGGGUUGUAAACUCCUUUCGCUAGGGACGAAGCGUUUUGUGACGGUACCUGGAGAAGAAGCACCGGCUAACUACGUG